GAUGAACGCUAGCGGCAGGCCUAACACAUGCAAGUCGAGGGGUAACUAGAGUGAUAGCAAUAUUACUUUGGCUAGACCGGCGCACGGGUGCGUAACACGUAUGCAACCUACCUUAUACUGGGGAAUAACUUCGAGAAAUCGGUGCUAAUACCCCAUAACAUUGCGAAGAGGCAUCUCUUUGCAAUUAAAGCUCCGGCGGUAUCAGAUGGGCAUGCGUCCAAUUAGCUAGUUGGUGAGGUAACGGCUGACCAAGGCUACGAUUGGUAGGGGUUCUGAGAGGAGGAUCCCCCACACUGGAACUGAGACACGGACCAGGCUCCUACGGGAGGCAGCAGUGAUGAAUAUUGCGCAAUGGACGAAAGUCUGACGCAGCCAUGCCGCGUGCAGGAUGACGGCCCUAUGGGUUGUAAACUGCUUUUGUACGGGAAUAAACCCUUCUACGUGUAGGAGGCUGAAGGUACCGUAAGAAUAAGCACCGGCUAACUCCGUGCCAGCCGCCGCGGUAAAAC
rnacentral:rRNA from 1 species